rnacentral:rRNA from 1 species
UGGGGAAUAUUGCACAAUGGGCGCAAGCCUGAUGCAGCCAUGCCGCGUGUAUGAAGAAGGCCUUCGGGUUGUAAAGUACUUUCAGCGGGGAGGAAGGUGUUGAGGUUAAUAACCUCAGCAAUUGACGUUACCCGCAGAAGAAGCACCGGCUAACUCCGUGCCAGCAGCCGCGGUAAUACGGAGGGUGCAAGCGUUAAUCGGAAUUACUGGGCGUAAAGCGCACGCAGGCGGUCUUUCAAGUCGGAUGUGAAAUCCCCGGGCUCAACCUGGGAACUGCAUUCGAAACUGGCAGGCUAGAGUCUUGUAGAGGGGGGUAGAAUUCCAGGUGUAGCGGUGAAAUGCGUAGAGAUCUGGAGGAAUACCGGUGGCGAAGGCGGCCCCCUGGACAAAGACUGACGCUCAGGUGCGAAAGCGUGGGGAGCAAACA